rnacentral:lncRNA from 1 species
GCAGUGAGCUCACAUACCCCCGCUUGUCACAGAGGCUCAUCGUGACCCCUCCAACAUCGCCUUGUUCCUCAAUCGCACCCACUUCUCCACCUUCUGGAAAAGAGGUCACUCCCGUUCCAUCAAAGAGCCCUCCUGGGGAUCUGGGCUGCUCAUGGGACAUCAGUGAAGCACGAAAUCCCAACUCUGCAAUAGCUCACGCCAAAGUUGGCAUCAAAGUGGUUCUCCAUCGGGGGUUGUGACUCUUCCCUGGUCUUCACACACGUGACUCUAACGACCCUGGGAAGCACCUUAGGAGAUGUUACUUCAGCUUGGAUGCUCCGCCUCAAACACAGUUUCUUACUCAUCCCGUACCAUAUUUCCGUCCCCCCACGUUUUAUUUAUUUAUUUAACGAAUAUUCAUCAUCAGUCCCAUGUGCCAGGUUCUGUACUCAGCACUUGGAAUAUACCACUAGACAAAACAGAAGAAGCCCCCUGCCCGUGAGGGGCUUAUACUCCAGUGGAGAGAGGGAACGACAAACAGUAAACAUCAAGGACACGUUUGAUGGACGGGAGCCACGACGCGCGUCCGGACGCGCGGGAGCCGGAGCUGUGGGAAAGGAAGGGAAAAUAGAGCGAGUUGCUCUCCUCCCAUCCAGGGGCUACUGGACCCUUGGCCAGCGUGACCCCUCAUUCAGGAGCUGGGUAGGAGGUAAUGGAUGGACAAAUCUUCGAAGUCAGCCCACGGGAGGGAGAGCGUGCCGGCCGCCUAGAGCAUUUCCGGUUUGGGGGAUUCUCUUCUCCGUCAGAAACACCGCUUUAGUACAAGGAGGGGGAGACGGGGCCUAAGAAUAUUCAUCCUUUAUCAUAGGGAAAAGAUCAAAUUAUCGUGGACACCGCAGUACAUAUGAAGGAGCAUGGUCGUUCCCGCCAGCCUAGGAGAACGGUGGGGAUAAGCAGCGAAAGGUAUGUAUAAAGACUCAUUAUUCCUUCCUCUUUGCACUUAUUUCCAGAAUUCACCAUUUUGAAAGGCAACGGUUAUGAGCAAGUGCCUUUCCCCAUGAAUAGCUGGCAGCAUCAGCGUCCUCUUUGUUUCAUGUUCUUUUCUCUUGGCCCCACAAGCAUCUGAAAUUCUGGAGGACUAUUAGCCUCACCCCCAUUUCAGAAGCUUGUUUUCAAAUGACCUCAGUUUCAAGGCGGGGCAUGUCCCGCAACCUCUGACCUGACCUUCUUUCUGCAACUUCAAAUGCUCUUAGGCCUCAGGACAGUAGGCCUGAUGCAAGUAUCACAUCAGGAAAAAAAAAAAAAAAAAAAAAGACAAUGGGACCCUUGACAUUGGCUGACAUUGGCCAGCCUACUGGGCCCCUUGCCUUAGUGCACGGUUCCCAAACUGUGCUAUGAAACAUGUGCUGAGAAAAUGCAGUGAACUCACAGGGGUUCCGUGGGACAUUUUGUGUUUCCAGGGAAAACACAGCUAUGCUCAACAUUUGUCAGACAGUGUGCAAAAUACUAAUCCAAGGUAAUUCAGCUUCAGUAUGAGACUCAUACUACAUUUUCCUUUCAAUGAUACCAUCUGCCUUUGCAAAGUUGGAUUUUUAGCAGUGGCUAAGGCAAAAAGCAAAUACCGCACAAAGAUCAAUGUGGACCGAGAAAUGGGAGUAGUGGUUCCAGUCUGAUUUCAAGCUUUGAGAAUUGUAUGCAGUGCCCAAUAGGCACUCACAAUCCAUUAAUAACUAAUUAGGGUUAUUCAAGAAUGAAAUUAAAAGUUUUUUUUUUCUUUCAAACUUUUUGUGUUAACUUUUCAAACAGCUACAAAGUUGUUAAAAC